AUGGCUGAAAGAAAUUAAAGAAGGUGCAAGUGCUUGGAAUGACACGCCAUGUUCACAGACUGGAUGGUUUAAUGUCGACAUUUCUCUGCUACUGAAAAUGAUGCACACAUUAUACUGCAACAACUCACAAAAUCUCAUGCCAUUUUUUGAGACUUGGAAAAGAAAAUCUUAAAAUACAUGUAGAGCCCCAAAGAACCCAAAUAAAAAGAUGCUCUUGAUAGCAAAGAACAACAAUGGAGAAGUCUCAAUUCCCAGAUUCAAAACACACUGCCAAGCCACAGCAGCAAAAACGUCUACCCCUGGAAUCUAAACAGGAAGACAGACCAAUGACCCAUAAAAGAAGGACCUAAAAAUAAACUCACAUGUAUGGCCAAAUGAUCACUGCCCAGGUUCUAAGAUUCCCCAGUCAAAAAAGUACAGUCUCUUCAACAAUCAACAGAAUGAAAAGGCAAUCUAUAGGGUGGGAGGAAAUACUUGCAAAUAUUGCUUCUGGAUAAGGGACCCAUAUCCAAAAAAUACAAGAAACUAACACUCAAUUAAAACAAAACAAAACAAAACAAAACACACACGCGCACACACACACCAAAAAAGUGAAAAGCAAAGACUGUGGGCAAAUAGCUGAAUUUAAAAAUGGGUAAACACCUUGAGAAGAUAUGACCCCAUAGAAACUAUGAUGGUGAUCAAAUAUAUGUGAAAUAUAUGUUGCGCUCAAUUGGGACUCUGUGGUUAAGAGAUGCAAGCAAUUGCAUUGGGAGUGGAUAAGCAGUGACAUCCCACUGGAUAGCACAGAACACAAUAUCUACUCACUUAUGAAGGAAAAAAUAAAAAACACUAAAAAAAUUACAACUUUACUGGAAGGCUGAUUUCCAGGAAAAGCAUGCUAAUAAAUGGAUUCACAAAAUACUGCUCUUUAAGAUAAUUUAAUAUAGACGAACUGACAAUACUGAAAUCUUACCAUUAAAAACACCACUAUCAUUCACAUCAUGGUUGUUCUCCAGGCUUCAUUUUCUACAUGGUGUGUGCAGCAUGUGCCCUGAUUAAAUGUAUAGCCACACUAACAAGAGUCUUACAACAAGAGGGACUUACUUCAUGGAGAGAAACACAGAGGGAGCACCAAGUCCUUCUCACCCAGAUGGGCAGCGAGGUUGUACAAUGGUGCCGGACACCAGGCUAAGGAUGAGGGUGAACUCUGAGCUCUUACUUGCAACAUCGCCUGGGUGUGUGCUACCUAGGGUGGUCAAGUGCGAGAAUGACAGUGACACUGUCUGAUAUAAGAAUAUGCCUCUCUGAUAUUUAUCUGCUUUUGCCAUGUUGAAGUGAUGACAGCAGCACUGGCAGGGACCUUUUAAAAUGCACAGCAUCGACAGGACCUCUGGAGACCCUGGUCUUCCCGGGCAUAGACACGGAACAGGGACCUUCCCCCCUCAGUGCUCCAUACUGACAAAAUCCUGGCCGAGGGAUAGCUGCAGGUCAGGGGUCCAGAGCAUCCCCAUGGAUAACCCGGCCUGGGUCCCCCUUUGGCUUUUCUACAUAGGAAGUCAAGACCUUGGGCCACGUGGCUCUGCACCAUCUCCAGCUGAGCAACAGGAAAAUUAAGCCAACUUGGGAACAGCGCUGGUGAUGGGAGAAUGCGUGAAUGUAGACGAGCUUGCAGAGGGGAUGGAAAUUGUGUUAGGAAAAAUUGAUGAUUGUCUUGUCCGUGUAAAUAUGAAAUAUCUCAUGAGGAAACACACCACAUGUGCUCACACAUGGACCUCGCUCCCUGUCCCUCAUAACAUGUAACAACCCAAGGCAUCAACAUGAUAGACUUGUGUCCAGGGCAUGGACAUCUUGGGCAUCACUAUGAGUGGCAAAAAGCUGCAUGCUCUACACCCCCAACUCUCUUUCCAAAAGGACCCCAGGAUCUGGAGGCUCUGCAACCAAUGCCAGCAAGAAAGCCCCACAUUCUACUACACCCAGAUUGUUCGUCACUGGAGUGAUGAUCUCUGAAUACACACCGCUGCUGGUAGGCCCCUCCUUCAUCAUGGUCUAGAGAAAAGAAAACAGUGUGAGAAUCUAAGCUUCAUAGGCUCUAUGGACAAAGGAUAUUUCAUUGUAUUUCUUUUCUCAGAAAACCAAAAGGAAACUUUCCUUGAGUCCAUGGUCCCAAAGAAAACAGAGAGGUCGUCUGUGAGAAAGGCUUCAAAAUUUCCUGGAAGACCUCUCAAGUCUAUUUUGACCAAAAACUACAAAAUUCUCUUUCAAGGAGGGUAAUACUCUGCGGAGAAAAUGCUCCCAACCACACAGGCAGUGUGCAACUGACGCUAUUGUACUGAAAAUGUCUUUUUCAAUCAGUCAUUCAUUGGGAAAGGCAUUCAGUCAAAAAUCAUCCAACCCAGGAAAAAAGUAUGUCUCCAUACUUUGAACAGUACAGACUUUCACAUUUGAAUUUGCUUGAAAACAAUGAGGAAAUGACGCUAACCUUUUGUUGCAGAUAAUAAAAGAAACUUACUGUGGAGAAAGAUGACUUGUCUUCUCCAGUGAUGAUAGACUGCUCCUCCAAAAUUACGGAGAGCUUUCCUAGGAAUACAUAGAGUAAAGGUCAUGAUAUUGGUGAUGCUGCUCAGGAAUUAUUCAGGCAGCAUUGUUGGGGAGUGGUGGGUGAACACAGGGAGGGAGGGGAAGGAUGGGAGAUUAUUAAGUAUGGGCCCUUGUGCUGUUGGCCGUCUACUCCAGUGGGAUGAGGCUGGCCAAGGGGAGGUUCCUUGACAUAAUGAGAAGGGGAGCUUUAAGCUUCCUAGCUAAAGCCAACAAAAUCAUCUCAAUGUAGGCAAUUUGAAAAAAGGUAAUUUCCAAAUUCAUGUUCUGGGGACCUCCCGCUGUGGCUCAGUGUGUUAAGGACACGAAGCUGUCUCUGUGCAGAUGCAGGUUCACUCCCUAGCUUCCCUCAGGGGCUUAAGGAUCCAGGGUUGCUGCAUGCUGCAGUGUAGUGUGCACAUGUGGCCUGGAUCCGGUGUUGCCAUGUCUGGGUACAGCUGAGUCAAUCCCUCCCCUGGGAACUUCCGUAUGCCACAGGUGUGGCCGUAAGAACAUAACAAAACAAAAAUAAUUCAUGCUAUGUUUCAAGGACAGAGUCCAAUGACUCCUCCAGCCUAUUUUACAUCCCAUGACGAUUCCCACUACUUCUUGAAAUGUUACAAGACCAUUUCAUCUCCACACAUUCACAUGCCCUGCUUCUGCUCAGCAUCUCUUCUCCUUGAUUAUUUUCUUUACUUCCUUUAGUGUGAUGACACAGAUAUAACAUUUGUCCUUCGCAUAAUUGUUAACCAUACAGUUCCAUAGCCUUUUUGACUUCCACAUGCUUUAGUACCCAUCAACCCUACCUACACCCACACCUUUGUCAUCAUGCCCGACAUGACCCAUCAUAACUCACCUUCCCCUUGCCGCCAGGCCCUGGUAAUUUCUACUUCUGUUAAUAGGAAUUUGCCUACACAAGCAGAAUUACAUGAUAUUUGUCUUGCUGUGCCUGCCUUAUUUCACUCACCACAAUAGAUUUUUGUAGUAUUUGGUCCACCCAUUCCCUAACAUAUUUCGAGCUUUAACACCACUCUGUGGCUAAAGAGUAGCUCAUUCGGGGUAUCUUUGCCUUUCACUUUGCCAGUCAUCUCAUUCCUCAUCACAUUCAUCAAAGCCUUUUGUGUACUGCCCAUCUUUGGACCCCUGGGAGAAAUACGCCAGGGAGCAUUCGGGUAUGGAUUUCUCUGUGCUACAGUGGUGAGAAAUCACAU
rnacentral:lncRNA from 1 species